rnacentral:pre_miRNA from 1 species
CAUCUCUUCAAUUCCGUAGUGCAUUGCAGUGUUUGAUUUAGCAAUCUGCAAGCAGUGCGGAAGUGAGGAGAUGCU